CACUCCUACGGGAGGCAGCAGUGGGGAAUCUUGCGCAAUGGGCGAAAGCCUGACGCAGCCAUGCCGCGUGAAUGAUGAAGGUCUUAGGAUUGUAAAAUUCUUUCACCGGGGACGAUAAUGACGGUACCCGGAGAAGAAGCCCCGGCUAACUUCGUGCCAGCAGCCGCGGUAAUACGAAGGGGGCUAGCGUUGCUCGGAAUUACUGGGCGUAAAGGGAGCGUAGGCGGACAUUUAAGUCAGGGGUGAAAUCCCGGGGCUCAACCUCGGAAUUGCCUUUGAUACUGGGUGUCUUGAGUAUGAGAGAGGUGUGUGGAACUCCGAGUGUAGAGGUGAAAUUCGUAGAUAUUCGGAAGAACACCAGUGGCGAAGGCGACACACUGGCUCAUUACUGACGCUGAGGCUCGAAAGCGUGGGGAGCAAACAGGAUUAGAAACCCGGGUAGUCCCA
rnacentral:rRNA from 1 species